rnacentral:rRNA from 1 species
AUUGAACGCUGGCGGCAGGCUUAACACAUGCAAGUCGAACGCGUGGCGGACGGGUGAGUAAUGCUUGGGAAUCGAGCUUAUGGCGGGGGAUACUUACGGGAACCUGUAGCUAAUACCGCGUACCAUAGGAUGAGCCCAGGUGGGAUUAGGUAGUUGGUGAGGUAAAGGCUAACCAAGCCGACGAUCCCUAGCUGGUCUGAGAGGAUGACCGGCCACACUGGAACUGAGACACGGCCCAGACUCCUACGGGAGGCAGCAGUGGGGAAUAUUGCGCAAUGGGGGCAACCUGACGCAGCCAUGCCGCGUGAAUGAAGAAGGCCUUCGGAUUGUAAAGUUCUUUCGGUAGCGAGGCGUUAACUACAGAAGAAGCACCGGCUAACUCCGUGCCAGCAGCCGCGGUAAUUC